GAUGGGAGCUUGCUCCCUGAUGUUAGCGGCGGACGGGUGAGUAACACGUGGGUAACCUGCCUGUAAGACUGGGAUAACUCCGGGAAACCGGGGCUAAUACCGGAUGGUUGUCUGAACCGCAUGGUUCAGACAUAAAAGGUGGCUUCGGCUACCACUUACAGAUGGACCCGCGGCGCAUUAGCUAGUUGGUGAGGUAACGGCUCACCAAGGCGACGAUGCGUAGCCGACCUGAGAGGGUGAUCGGCCACACUGGGACUGAGACACGGCCCAGACUCCUACGGGAGGCAGCAGUAGGGAAUCUUCCGCAAUGGACGAAAGUCUGACGGAGCAACGCCGCGUGAGUGAUGAAGGUUUUCGGAUCGUAAAGCUCUGUUGUUAGGGAAGAACAAGUGCCGUUCAAAUAGGGCGGCACCUUGACGGUACCUAACCAGAAAGCCACGGCUAACUACGUGCCAGCAGCCGCGGUAAUACGUAGGUGGCAAGCGUUGUCCGGAAUUAUUGGGCGUAAAGGGCUCGCAGGCGGUUUCUUAAGUCUGAUGUGAAAGCCCCCGGCUCAACCGGGGAGGGUCAUUGGAAACUGGGGAACUUGAGUGCAGAAGAGGAGAGUGGAAUUCCACGUGUAGCGGUGAAAUGCGUAGAGAUGUGGAGGAACACCAGUGGCGAAGGCGACUCUCUGGUCUGUAACUGACGCUGAGGAGCGAAAGCGUGGGGAGCGAACAGGAUUAGAUACCCUGGUAGUCCACGCCGUAAACGAUGAGUGCUAGUGGU
rnacentral:rRNA from 1 species